UGAAAAGCGAUGAAUAGAGAGAGUAAUCCACGAAGGAUAUCAGAGACAGACUGCCACCGGCUGAAAGCAGUCUUUAUUUCGGAAGGGAUGAAGUGCAUCUAGGAGCUGAUCGGACGAGUGCGAUUUUGCAGUAGCCCGGUACGUUUUACACAUGUUACGUGUAUCGAGUGAAGGGUAGGUACUAUCCUUUAGCAGAGUGGAACCGCGGAUAACUUCGUCUCUAGC
rnacentral:ncRNA from 1 species